GGCUGCAGUGAGAUAGAACAGCUACCAGAAGGCUUAACCUGCAAUAACCGAGGUAGCCUAACUCUUUCUAGAAGGAAAGUGCAAUAGGGAAGUCUCAAAUGAAUAAGACUCUCUGUGUUCCCCUGCCAGCUUCUCCACUUUAAUUGAGACAAUGAGGUGUUUGCUGAAGUGCUCUUGAUGUCCCAGUGCUCUGCAGGGAGUAGGAGGUGGGGAAAACUUGGUCAGACCUGUCAAUAGGCUGCUUUUGCACCCACACAGGCCACAUGGACAGUGUCAGGAACAACUUUAAUGAUCCUUAUACUGUAACGAUCUGCCCUUCUGAGAGCAUGGGGAUUUUCACAUAUGACCAGUGUGAUCUGGCCUCUUCUGGCUGAUCUUAAUAGUGUAAGAUGAGAAAUAAGACUUUCAUUUACAAUAGUAUUUCAUACCACCAGAACUAGAAGCUGUGCUGCUUUUGCUGCGUUUUCUUUGGUUAAGGGCAUUGCACAGUUUACUAGGUUUAGUUACCGCCUUUUCUUGUGCAGGGAGAAACUGCUUCUGGAGUACUUCUAACUACCAGCAGACUUGCAUGGUUAUGUGUAAAGCUGAACUGCAACUUUUGUCUAGGACUGCAGGAGCUUGUUCUGUGGGGCACUUUUUACAGUAUUUUUCCUCUUUUCUUUCUUUUUUUUUUUUUAAAUAAAAAAAUAAAAUAUUGCUCAGAGCUGAAGCUCUACUGUUCCUAGGUCUAUGCUAGCCACUGCAGGCAAGUGUGGAGGUGGUGAGUGUGCUGUUGGAAGUAGAGCUUUGCAGAGAGGAUUUAUUCCUGGAGUAGGAAUCGGAGCCUGUGUGCUUAACCUGCUGUGUGGUAACAUUGAGCUCUGACUUGAAUCCAAAUGAGAAAUAUUCUUCAGCAGUACCACAUGAAGGGAUACCCUUUAGACAUGGGAGUCUGCUUUCUUUGGUGAAGAGGAUGGUUAUGGGUGCAGGUAUGAAGAUCUGGAGUUGAUCUCUGCAGCUGCUGAUUUUACUCCGCAUGUUGCGGAGGGACAUAUUUUUGAACAAAAUGUGUUUUUUUCUUAUUGUUUUUCUUUACACACUGCUGCCUGGGGCUAAGAGCACGUGGCAUGCUAGCAGUUCCCCUAAGUUGUGCGUGCUUUAGCAGGAAGUAAUUAUCUCUGAUCAUUUCAUUUCCUAGCAGUACCACUCUUACCCUGACUGGUAACUUGGAAAACCUGCUGUCCUAAGAUCUUGAUCAUCUCAUUUGCAUGUUGCGUGGAAGAUGGGGCAAGGGGGCCUGUUAAUAGUUCAUCUGGUUAUGAGACAUGAAACAAGUGAGUAAAAUGCUUUCAAACUCCAUUAUUCCUUAAAGACAACAGAGUUUAGACUAAUGGUGUGUUUUCAGAAUUGAUUUGAAGGGCAAGAUGGUGCCCUCCUAUUUUCUGUCACAAAAUGCCACUUGCCAAUCCAAGUGGUGUCUGCUGUUCUACUGAUGGUAUUUCAAACUUGACAAAGAACCUGACUGUGCAAGGAAAAAUUCUUCAUCAUGUCCACAUCUUCGAGAUUCAGCGUGAGUGGCAGUUGUUUAACGUUCCGAAAUGUUAUUUUGGGUAUCUGCACCAAGGUCAGUUCACUUACUAAAAAAAUUGAAGGCUGUGUAUAAAUAAUGCCGUGUCCUAGCUUGCAAAAUGGUACAUAAAAUAAAUCUUUCUUUUAUGUGGACCCUAGACCCAAACAGCUAAGCUCCUUGCCAGAACUUUUUUCAAUCUCUGUGAGAACGUAAGGCAUAGUUUGGCUGUAAGUAGGGUAUAGUACUGGUGUUCUUGCAAAGAAGACGCAAACAAAACAUUCUGUUUGGGUGCCUGUCCUUGCUGUGUGAAAGACCAGAGCAGCUUAGGAGGUGUUUUGUAGAGGCUAGAGAUGUGGUAUGUCCCUCUUGUGGAAGACUUUUCUGCUGCCUGGAUUUGAUCUUGAAUCCUGGGAAAGGAAGGCUGACUGUUAAGUGUUAGCCUCGCAAGAGUCUGACACGCCAAGGAACAGUUCAGGAGUCUGAAUGCUGUGGCUGCCAGUGCCGCCUUUGUAGGAAUUCCGGUGCGGGGUGGAGCUCAGGAGGUCACAGGAGGGAGAGAGUAUUCUCCAGGAUAACAGGUUUAACAGUAAAACUGGUCUUUUGCCUUAUUUUCAUGAAAUGUUGCAUUAGCACAAAUGUACCAGCAGUGUGGGCUGCAGCAUGGAACCUCAGGCUCUAAAAAUCGAUGGAGAGAAUUUCAGAAAAAUCUUUAAUCUUUUUUAUUGGAAUCGGCAUGAAUGUAUGAUUCAAUAAAUAUAUUUUAUAUACAUAUAACAGCAGAAACUUUACAUUCCAUCUUCAAACUGCUGAAAUAGAACUUCUGUUUUAAAAUUUUUUACAAGCCAGAAAAAUAAUCUGCCACUGUUUCUGUGUGGUCAUGCAAAUUAUGUACGUUACAGGUUUAUUUCAUCAUGACGUAAAAAUGCUGCUCUUAAGGAAGCAGUUGCUUUGCACUCUGACCAAUGUAGCAAAAUAUCAUUAAAUGGAGUGUAAGGCCAUACCAACUUUGUGUAUGUAUAUAUUUAUGUAUAUAUAAUAAAUUCAUAGAGAAAAGAUGGGAAGGUACCUUUUUAAGGUGGGUAGGGACAAGAUAUGUAAGCAUUUCAUGAUCAGACUAGGGUGUGCUAUAUUCUGUAUUUCCGUAGUCACUCCUCUGCUUUUGAGGGGAGACUAGCAUGAAAAUUAAUAAGCAUUUUUCCAUUAUCUUUUCAGACCUGUGUUAAUGAACCAGUUGCACUGAACAAGAGAGCACUUGAGUUGCCCACUUCACUCUUCCUUCUUGCCUUAACUCCGGUGAUUAAUUCUUAAUCUCUGAAUACUUUUCUGAUUAUCUCCUGUGAGAUGCUGAUAUAUUAGCACGCGCCUUGCAGGGGAGAAAACUAAAACAGCUGAAUAUGAACUGUUUCAAUGCCUGUUUUAAGCUUAUCUGAAAUUAAAGGGAGGUGAGUUUUGUCCUCUUAACAGCAGAUGCCUCUCUCUCCUAUGCAUAAGAGUUGAUAAAACCGGGGGAGUUUUAAUGCCACUGCUUCCUUCUGAGGUCUCGCUAAGACUGACGAAAGAAAAUACUCUGACCUUGUUACCUGUCCUUUCUUCAUUUUGAACAAACUUGAGAAAAUAGCUGUAUCCUGAUUUGAUUUUUUUUUUUUCCAACAAGCACACACACACGGAAAUGCAAAACUAGUUCCUAUCUGGAUUUGGUAUUUACAGAAGAGCAUUGAUAAAUGGGCUCUGAUGGAUGGGUGUGUCAAGAGGGUAUAAUCCUCAGGCGUCUGUCCUGCCCCUUUGCAGGAGGGACUGUCCCACAGCUGAGGUCUUGGCCUGUGUUGGCAAACCCCAUGUUUUUACCCUGAGCUCCACUAGAGAGUGGAGGGUGACUGGUAUUGCCCUCUCUGGGAGGGACGGGCUUUGCUGGCGGAGGGAUGGGGCAGCCAGUAACAUGCUCCACUGCAGCUGCUAAACCCAGCACAGCUCGUUUGUCAGAGCCCUUGGCUGUCCCUGGUGUAAACAGCAUCAAGGCGCUGUUGUGUUUUGGAACAAAUGAGCUUUAGUAAGUCAAGGUUUGGAAACAAAGAUUUCCUUGAUACAAAUAGCUUACAGAUGGGAGAGAGACAGAAAAUGGGACAAAACAACGCCGCUCCUUAACAGGCUUUUUUCAACAGUUUUGGGGAGGUAUUCUUAGAUACUGGAUUUCUGGGGGUUUCGCCAGUGAGGUGGAUACUUCAAGGAAAAUGAGAUAAUAUUUAUCAGGGACAUAAGGAAAACACUCUCUAAGUACUGAACUGUUCCCACUUCUGUUUGUUUUGUAUGUUUUCAAUUAGUAUUCCUGCUGUGAGUAUGUAUCUCCCCUCCAAAGUAAAACCAAGUGUGCGAUGGUUGUCCUGAAGAGAAAUAUCUUAAAUAUUUUUAUUUUUCUUCUAAAGAUAAAUUCAUUUACAAAACAAUGUAAAUGGGUGUGCGUUUGUAGUGGGAAGGGAGGAAUUCCUGGGUCCUCCUCUCCCUUUUUUUUUUUUUUUUAAUCACUUACAUCUAAGUUUUUCAUUACUCCUCAUCUGUUUUAACAUAGUAAGCAUGAUAUGCUGUACACGGUGGUAGAAUGUGAGUAGACAACACAGUCCAUAAAAUGUCAUGGUCCACAACGACGUUAGCCUGCUUAUGGCUGUUGUUUAUCUCAAGUGCGUGGUUACAAACAGCUGCUUGGGACAGGCUUGUGCAUCUUCAGGAUUCAAAGGCUGCUUCCAAAGUGGCGUUCACCAGUGCUGCAGGGAUGGUAAAUUGCAAUGAAAUGCACUGUGACCUUUGCAUGUCAGGCCAUUUUUGGAUGAAGUCCUUAGUGUGUUGCUUCAUCUUUACAUCUCUCUCUAGAUCUCUUAAUUCAGUGGGGUUUUACUGUAUCUCAAACACAUGUGUGCAUGGCUUUUAGCACAGUUGCCUUCUAUUUCAGUUCUUUUGAAACCAUCAUCUCUUUCCUGCAGCUCGGUAAGUCCAUGAAAGAAGAGGUGAGGUCUGGCCAUGAUCAGUGCUGUCAGUAUGUCGUGGCCAGACUCGGGAACCACACAAACUUAUCUUUUCGUGUAUGAAUUCCAUUUCACGGUAGGCUUGAGAUGCUCCAGGCAGUGCAUUUUUCAGGAUAAUUAAUUCCACAUGCAUGUGGUGAGUGAAGUCACUUGGCCUUUGUGCCUUAAUCUCUGUGUCUGUCACCUCAGAUGCUUCUGGAGUUGAGCUGUGUCGCCUGACUUACCGCACCAGCUGCAGGGAGUGCAGUGCUGGGUGUACAGUGAGGUGCUCUGACGUUGCAGUGAGCAGCAAGAUGGAGCUCAAAGGCAGAGUUUAAGCACAACAGAUUGCCCUUCCCAGCAAGGGGAAGGUGUAUUACAUACCUGUCUCUCCAAAUCUCACAUAACAUCACUGUUUAGACCUUAACGCUUAUUUCCCAGAAAUUCCAAUUGGGAUGCUCCUGAAGCUGACAGAUCCCCAACUCAACCUACUGUCUUGAUCUAAUUUAAGGAGGGAUGUAUCAGUCAUGGGUUUGAAAUGCAAGUGUCUUUCAGCUGCUCUGUCAAGUUUAGUAACCCUGCUCAGUGCUGGAGGGCUGUGAAGGGGCAUCAACCUGGGCGUGGAGCCGCUGGUUUUGUGGUUCUCCACUUUUGAGUAGGUUAACUUAAAGAUUUGUCAGUUUGGUCUGUGAUGCUACUGAGCUUAUUUUCCCUGCUUACUACUUCUCUGACCCUGGAGUUGGAAGUAUGCAAGUGUUUUGGACUGAAACACAAGCAGGUUUGGGAAGGGGAGGACAGAAAGGAAAGGGUACAAGUUCAGUGUGGGCAAUGGCAGGGCAGGGUGUUCCAAAGCCCUUGUUCAGUUGUUUGCCCAGCCUAGGCAAGCAGAAGGUAAGGGAACUUGUGUUCCCUUCUGCUAAGAUUUUGUUUGGUCAAUCUCUAGCUGGGCAUUUCUUGUAGAGCUAAGUUCUGCUGCUGUGGCCAAUAGCACAGGCCAUGGUUACUUAAAAUGGUAAGCAGAGGAUAUAAUAAUAGCCUAAUUUGUUAGUGGUGGGGUGGUUUUGUUUUGUGGUUUGAUUUUUCUUUUAACUUAUAUUCCUGACUAGAAAGUGAGCUUGAUGGCAAGUGGAGGCAUCAAGGGCUUGCCAGGAUUGAUCAUUAUAUUCCUGCCUGUGAAGGAUGUACAGGUGUCCCUCACCUUAGUGUUCAGUUGUUCAGCGAGAUGCAUUUCCAGCACCUCUUUCCUGUGUUACAGAGGCUGCCCCUUCCCAUGUCCUUUCUUUAUUUGCUGGUUUCUCAAGCUUUGUUUUUAGAGAUGACGCUGCCUGUGCUGUCCCGUGGAGUAAGAGGUAUGGUACAAGUCAAGCCUCAUGAAUUCUUUCCAACCCCUCAAAGAACAAGCAACGGCAUUUAAAGCCUCAGCUCCCAGGAAGACCACAUGGGCUGGGGCUGCAGCUGUGACUGCACCUACUGCAGUGGGGAGUAAGUACUACAAGCUCCUGUGCCUUACACUAAUCUUCAUCUGCUCUUCCUUCCUGAUCCUUGCCCUCACUCUGCUCUUGGGUAGGGAGCUGAACUUGUAGAACUUCUGCUUCUAACACUGAAGCCUUGGAGGAGCAGAGCUGUCCUAGAGGCUGUGGUCACAACACAGUUGUGUUCAACUGUGGCACAUCACACGCUCCAGAGCUGGUCCUGCUCCUCAGGGGUUUGUGUUGGUUCUUUAGCCCAUCAUGAGCGACCGUGAUGAGGAUACUUUUACAAAUAUGUACGUGCGUAUCCAGGAGAGGUGGCUAAGGCACCGUCCUUGGCACAAUCCGUUCAAUAUUGCAUAGUUCUAGUUCGAUAAAGGUCAGUGUUUGGGGAUUAGUUGUCAAGCAACAAACACUGAAGCCCAAGGGUCAAUUCUGCUAUCGUUGGAAGUCACAGCCUGUUGAUCUCCAUAGGGCUGUGACAGGGCAAUGCUGAUUUAAGCAACACUACCAUGAGGCCCUCCCUGUAAUUGUGACUGCGAGGUUGAUUCCAGGUUCAAGCCUGAGCUGUAAUUUAGUGCUCAGAUUCUGUGGUGUGCUCAACCCAGGGCAGCUGGCUCAGCUAGUCUGCAGCCCAAAGCUUGACUCAUGUUUUUGUCGGACAAGUAACCCAGCUGUGCCCCAGCAUCACCAAGUGCCUAAAUAAAGCAGACAUCUCCUCCCACAGAUCCACGGGGGGAGGCGAUUUCAGUUUGCUAUGGUGCCAGCAAUCCUGGGAGCAGCUUCCCAAAAGCCUUAGCAGCAAAAGCUACUAGUGAGCUCCAUGUCCCUCAGACCUGGCAGCUUCAGGCCAGCUCUACCUGCCCCUGCUUGUGCCAACCUUGACCCAUCGUGCUUGCAGCUCAAAGCCAGAGCAUGUAGUUAAUGUGGGUACUUCAUGCCCCAGCCAGGCUCAGCCAAGUUCCCUGCAUAGGUGAAGAGGGUGUCCUUGUUUGGCUUAAGCUACUUACACAAUUCAAGUGGCAAAUCUAUGAAUAAAAGUUAAUCAAGCUAGGCUGAUGGGUUAUUUAUGGUGGUAUCAUCCUAUGCCCAGGAAAAGAUGGAUGAUUUUAUACUGGAAGUGCUGACAUGCUUGAGCCUCAGGGUACCUGGGAACACGUAAUAGGGUUUUAUAUCCUCUCUCCUUGCUGAGAACGGCUGUUGGGAUGCUGCUGAGGUCCCUCUCCCUUGUGCUUUUUGUGGCUGGCUUCUUACUGUUGGUAGGAGUAGUGGCAGCACUAAACACAGCCUCCAAACCCCAGCAGUGAUGCUUUGAGUGCUGAUGGGAUUGUUAAGCCAACGUGAAGCCAUCCCUGUCUUCCCCCAAAGCGGCAACAUCCCCUUGUGCUGAAUCUGACCCCGUGCAUGCACUCACCCUGUCCAGGUCAACCCCUGGCUAAUCCAUCUCUAGCGCUGCUGGAAGCUGACCCUACCUCGGGGUGGGCUUCAGCACUGUCUAUUAUACACCCAGGAGCAGUAAUAUCGCAAGCAUAAGACUCCCUUACAAUUUCUACUUGAAAGCCUGACAGUCAAGUGCAUGAAGACUGCAACUUCGGUUUGCUAGACUUGAUGGCAGUGAUUACUUAACACAAUCUCAUAAUUACUACUGCCAGCUUUGACUCUUGCGUCAUACCUGCUAGUGCUGUCUGCCUUGAAUGCCAGAAGAGUUAUGUGACAUGCAAACAAACCUCUCCUAUUGCUUUUCCUUUUCCUUCCCCGUCUAUGCCAGGAUUCUAAUCUGACAAUUUAACGGGUAAUUUCCUCUGCUAUGUGCUUAAACCAUCCCUCUCUUUGUAGACUGCUGUGUGGUUUGUGUCCUGUACCAGGAGCUUUGGUCCUUCACUGGCAGCAUGAUGCUGGGACAUUGUGAUAGGGUGAGUGAGGGCAGAGAUGAACCAAGAGAGCUGUAGCCCCUACAGACAAAAAGGUCAGCCUCCCACUGCAAGAGAGACCACAGCCUGGGACUCCUCACCUGGCUCAGCCUGUGCUUCCCAUUACCAAGCUAACUCCACUAUCUCUAGUUCAGGCUGUACACAUCAAUGUUCCCUCAGUGUGAGUUCACCUGAGGGCAUCAGCCAGGGGCUGCUCAUCCUAGCAGUCCUCAGAGGAGAAUGACUUGCCUAGUGCAAGCACCAGCAUCUCCUCCUCAGCUGCAGUGUGGAGUAUCUCUCAGCAGAUGCCCUGUGCAAAACACGCAACCGCUCCUUACUCAUCGCCAGGUUCACAACAGCUUAUUUCUUCUGGGCACCUCUGCUAUGCAACACCUCCUCUCCAGUGGGAGGAGACUGAGACCAUAAGAAUUUGAUUUCCAAUAAGCAGCUGCUAUGUAGCUGGAUCACUGAAAAAUAUGGAGCCCUACAGGGAUAAUAGCCAAAAAGUCUGCUUUCUCUGACUUACGCUGCUUUGCUUUCACAUGAGGAGAGUCAAAAAAAGUCCUUGUUGGCCACCCUUGCCUUCCUCAGGAGUCGUCCUCAUGCACACUUUGUCAUGAGAGCAUUCUCUGGGUAACUCCCUGCCUGCUCAGGAGCAAUGGUUUUACUCGCAUAUUUUGCCCUGUAUUUCCCAAGACACCCACCUGUGCCAGGCCCCUCAAAGGCUGCAGAGCUGAGGAACUUGGCCCCAUAGAAAUGAACGUUUGGGUGGGUAAAGAAGGGAGAUGAACACAGAAAAAUGCAAUAUACUUGAAUGAAAUAAGAGACUUGUGUAGAUUCAUUUGAGCAAGAGAUGUGAAAUUGUCCUGGAGAAAUAAUUAAGGAGAAGGAGAUGAGGGGAUGGGAAGACUUUAAAGGACCUGAAGUAAUUCUGAAGAUGCUAAAAUUAAUGAAUAUUAGCUUCUGCUUUGGUGUUCAUCCUAGCACCCUGAAGAACAAUCAAGUAUCUCAAUUUUCUACUUAAAUAGUAUACUGUCUCCAUACAAAUGAUGGAAAUCUAUUGAAGCAGGAGCAGCACAAGAUACCCCUUACAUCUCCCUUUGAGAAGAAGACAGGAGCGUGUCAGGCUGUUCCCAGCAGGGAGGGGAUCGGACACUGCUUUCACUGAACUGAGCUCUCUGGGAUGCUCCGGCAGGGCAGGACUCCUGCUUGCAGUUACCCAGAUGGAGAUGCAGGAUGUCCAGCUGCCAGGCAGGGACCCCAGACCUGCGGCUGUGCUGGUAGGUUGGGAUUUGAGGGAGAAGGGGUCCAUACUGUGUUAUCCACUGCUGCUGGUAGCAUGGUUUUGGGGUAAGGGAUGGGGUACUGAAAGCGAUUGUCUGUCUUUGGCACAGGGAUAAGAACUGCGUUUUAUUAAGGAAUGGUAGUACAGUACAAAAAUAUGAUUGUAUAAAAUCUGUGAAAAAUAUGGCACCAUUUAAAAUACCCUUUUUUCCUUUCAUAUGUUCCUUUCUUUUAAAAAAAUAUAUAUUGUGAGCACUUCUAAUCUUUUGUCCACCAGCAUUAGGAAAUGAAGCAAGGUCUUCAAAUUACAGUUGAGAUAAAGGACAACCAAUAGUAUAAUUUGAAUUGUCUUAGAUUUGCCUCAAAAUCAAAAGUCUUCAGAAGAACCAGAAGGGGGUGGUGGUAUAAAGAAGCCCAGAAAAGUCUGGGGAAAUCAACAAAAAACCUUUUUUUUUUUGCUCACAGGACAUGAGAAUAUUCAGCAUUUGAACUCUUGAGGCUUUUAGGAGUGAAGUUCCCCAGCCCUGACCAGCAAAAGCUUCUGGGACAAGAAGCCCAUGAAGCAAACGACCCUGCCUGUGUUUGAAGAGAGGCUGGUGCUUUGCCAGGGUCAAGCCUAAGCCUUACAGCCUGUACCAGACCGCAUUCUUACUUGUCUGUUCUGGAUGCUCUUCAGCACCUCUCUCAGAUUUCCAUGGUACUGGGAUCCCAGAUGGAAAGCCACUUUGAUCAGGAAUUAAAGUAGGAAAACACUCCUUUACCUGACCAGAAAAAUGGUAAGCUUAUCCUGCUUUUUUCUAUUUUCCACAGUUAUAUAUAAGGAAAAAUAAUUACUGAGUAUGAAGUGAUAUGUUUCCAGCAACAUCUGGAAAUAAUAUUGUUUGGGAUAAAACUGUUUCUCCAAAGAGUCCAAGCAAAUCAGAAUCCUGUUUUUUCUCUUUACUGUCGGGCUGACUGCUAUUUUACACAGAGCUUUGUUCGUAACAGGAGCUAAUGAUUACAGAGUUAAAUUCCAUCAAUAUGCCUGGAAGUUACCUUGCAAUAUCAAAUCCUGUACAUUCUUACUAAUAAAUAUAAUUGCUGACACUAUUAAAACAGCCUACUUUGAAGAUGAGAUAGGUUAUCAAAGCAAGUUCUAUUGCAAUACAGAGACUAAGCACAGUCUAGUACAGAUGGAGAAAAAAGGUUAGAUUUUGAAAACUGCAGACUCGCCGGGGCUCUUAGGACAGUCUAAGGUCCUGUCUAUGUGGUGAAACUGUCUGGCACGACAUCUGUGGGGCAGCGACCUUAGCACUGUCAGACCUUUGCCAAGACCCCAGUGUGUUUCAUGUUGGGAUGCGAGUGCUGCUCGCUGUCACCGUGCAGGCAGCCCUGGGGCUGGAAAAUGGCCCAAAUGGAAACUGGCUGCUUAAUGAAGAGAAAAUAACACUGCUUAUGGUGAGCAUCAAAUGCCUAGUGGUUGGCAGAGUCGGACUGGAUGCAAAAGCAAGCUGACUCAUCUGCAUACAACAGCACAGAUCCAGAGACAGAAUGCCGGAAUCCAGGCUUUCUUGAGAUUCCCAUCAGCAAAAUAUUCUAUGGGAACUCCAUCUCUGAUCAAUCAGAAAGACAAGCCUUCAACUACAUCUUCAGACAAGUCCCUUGAGAAGAAUGUACUGGAAGUAUCUGCCAGAUGUGAAACAGGGGUGACUGUGGCUACAACGAGGUCACGAGAUGCUGAGCAAACGCUGGACAAGUGCAUGCUGAGAAAGGAUCAGAGAGUGAAAUCCUCAAAGGUGAUUUUGGGUGAAUGGGCUGAGUCUUGGGUCCACGGGACAAAGUCCACCUUAUUGCCCUCCAUGCUUUACUCUUAUCGAUGCUGUUGAUCUGGGUUUGUUGUGUGGUCCUCUGCACUCUACCAAGAUGCAAAGUUUGACUUCUCUGUUGCUUCUGAUCACAGUCUUCUCCAGUGCAUGAGAUGCUCCUUCUGGUCCUGUCUGCUCACAGCUAUGAAUACCUGGAAAUCCCAGCAACAUCAGAAAAGCACUAUGCUGUCCUCAUGCUCAAAGGAACAUAAGAGAAGCUGAGUGAAGAUUGUGUUGACUGGACCACAACAGCCCCAGCACAUUUAACUUCAAGACAUAGUCAAAUGCUUGGUCAGCUCCCCGGCAUGCUGUGAGCUGUAACGAGUACUAGCUGACAGCUGUGCUUCUGGAAAGCAGGUUGCAUUUCAGUUCCAAAUUUUAUCUGGAUUCAGCCUCGUGGGGGUUUCAUUAGAUCUACAGAAAGAAUGGAACGCUGAAAAAUACAGAGAGAGGAGGCAAGAGGAAGAUCAGCUCCACAGCUGUGCUUGAGCUAAAGCACCGAGCGAACGUAUUCUUGGUGGUUCAGGUUUUGGGUGUUACGGAGUUCUCACAUAGGACAGGCAUGUUGGUUCUUUUUCUCAGUGUACACGAAGAGGAUAUAUAUUUAUUUUAGAAAAACACUUAGCCAGAAGGAAGACAACAUGUAGUGAAAGAUAAAUUAUGCAGAUAAUGUUCUAUUAUGCGCACAGAGUAAAAAGUACAAGGGAUAUGAAUUUCCCCAGGGAGUCACCUCUGAAAGGGGAGGCUGGGACAACACACAAAAUAAAAUGAAGAAGAAGAGGAAGGAAAAAAAUGAAUUGGAAGUAGUCAGUUCUGGCAGAUUUUGCUGGAAGGAGAAAGAAGACUGAAUGAGCAAAAGAUUGUGCUGGGGGCAACUCCUUCUAAAGAAAGGGCUUUGGAUUGGCUGUGUCACUUGUCCAGGUCACUCCUCCAACUCCUGAGGACAGUGUUUUGACCCUGCAGGUAUUUACAGAGGGUGAGGUGAGUGACUGGAAAGUGUGAAAAGAACCAAUGUAGAAAACAGUUGGCAGCGUGCGCUCUCCUGCUGCAGGAAAGCCUCCAGGCUUCCCCUGUGCUCUGAGGUGGGGAAUGCACUGGCUUUUUAUAGUUCUGGUCCGUCCUAUAUGGGCUGUCGAGGUCUGACAAGAUCUAUUCCUGUGGGUUGUGUGGCAAUGUAAGAUCAGAUACAGCAUGCAAAGCAGCCCCUGGUCUUGCCAGAGACAAGACAAAAGUCUGCUGAGGGUGGAGUAAUAAUUGUAUUUGAAGAGCACAACAGAGAGAGAGUCUCAGUGGGCAGUAACACUUCAUUUCAUCAGGAGCAGCAAAAAGAUAGCAAAAAGAUGCUUCUCUAAAGUCUUUCUCGUUUCACCCCCAGAGCUGUACCUUGUAUUGCAGGUCUCUUCAAAGCUGGCGUUUUGAACCAGUCCUGUUACCGUUUGAGCUGAUGCUCAGCUCCACUGCAGCAGUCCUGAUGUGCUCAUGCUUCUCCUGCAUGGUGCAGUGGGCUGAGCUGUGCUCAGGUGAACAAACAGAGAAAAUAAAACAGGUUGGGUUUUUUCCAGCCCUUGAGAUAGGUACGGAAGGUGGUGGUCUCCUCCUGUGACAGUGCACACUGGUUUUCCUCAGUGUGCUCAGCCUCAGACUCUCUGACCUGGCGUCUGGAGUCCUUGAGGUGAGGUGCCGAAGGGACACAGCAUUUCACAGGCUUUGCUGCAGCCAUCGGCAGACAUGUAAUUGGCUCUUCCCAUGGGCUGCCAUCAUGAGCUUCACUGUGGAUAAAAAAAAAAGAGAAAACAAAUCCAAGUGCCAGGACCCCUGUGGCUCUACCUUCACACACGUGCUUGCGGUGAGCACUGUACCACUAUGCUAGGCACUGACCUCCUGCAAGCAGGCGCUGUAGGAAUCACUCCCAUUCCCUGUGCUCACCACGCUACAGCCCCACGUUAUGAAAACAAGCUUAUCAGUCUUUUGGGUUCGUGUUGACACUUGCAGGUUCAGAGGCUUUUUGUUUGUUUGCUUUCUCUAUGCUCCUCAGUGCAUAAUUGGCCAGAUACAUUCCUGUUUUCUUUUCCUUACAGCUUUCUACCAGGCAUUACACAACUGGAGCCUGGAAUAAUUUGUUGAUGUUGUACAAAUAAAUUGUCUCUCUUGGAGACCUGGCUGAUGUGAUCAAAACUCACAAAUGGUAUCGGACCAGACGGCUGUUGA